rnacentral:sRNA from 1 species
GAAAAUCAGAUUUUGUUGGUGCGCUAUAGAAAAAACAACAUUUUUAUUUCGUUUGCCAAAAUCGACAAUUUGGAAAAAGUCGGCAUUUAACAACGGUACAAAAUUAAGUUUUAUUGACGGGUUUAUACGGCUGCGUGCCUUGCAUUUAUUUUUAUAUUGGAUGAAUAAAAAUCAUAGAUAUUCCAUCAGAUUGCGAGCCAUUGCGAGGCCUUCCAACGGUUUACGCGGAAGGUCGCCUUGUUUAAACCAGCCAUAUGCCAUAGAAAAAUUAGUGUCGACAUCUAAGUUGCAGAAAGCCAGCAGAUUGAUGCGACAGUGUCCGUUGUGCCAGAAAAGAGCCAUAUAAUUACCGCCGACAGUAGUUCCCACAAGCCAAUUAAGUAUCUGGCCAACCAGGUAACGAAGAUAAA